CGCGGCGGCGGGCGCCAUGGACGGGCUGCGGCGCGGCCUGUCGCGCUGGAAGCGCUACCACAUCAAGGUGCACCUGGCGGACGAGGCGCUGCUGCUGCCGCUGACCGUGCGGCCGCGCGACACGCUGAGCGACGUGCGCGCGCAGCUGGUGGGCCAGGGCGUGUGCUCGUGGGGGCGCGCCUUCUACUACAACGCGCGGCGCCUGGACGACCGGCAGACGGUGCGCGACGCGCGCCUGCAGGACGGCUCGGUGCUGCUGCUCGUCAGCGAGCCCAGGUAGUCUGGGUUGGAGGAGGUGGAGCCAUGUCCGAGGGGACCCGAGGGACUGACUGAAGGCACAGGCUCGGGCAGGGGGCACCUUCAGGAGGUCCCUGCCCAGCCUCCUGAGAGCCCAGACCUCACUCCAGGCUCCGGGCUCCCAGGUGGACGCUGGCCAGGCCAGAUGGUGCCCCCUGCCUCGGACAUUCCUGCUGGAGCCCCAGCCCCUGACACCGACCCAGGACGUUGCCGUCCCUGCCCAGCCUGCCAGGGAGGAGCCGUGAGCCUUCCAGCUCUGCGUGCGACCCGGAGGCUAUGGCCCGGAGCGGCUUCCACCCCCAUCUGUGUGGCUCCGACCCGCCUGGGAUCCAGCCUCCUCCAGAAAGUCCUCUCAGAUUCCCUCCUUCCCAGCCAGGGUCCUCCUCGUGCCCCCCGGGGUCCCCCCAAGCCCCCUCUGCUGCAGGCAGCCCUGGCUGGGGCUGCAGCCCGGCGCUGCUGGACUCUCAGAGGACCAAGGGCAGGGACUCGGUGACCCCAGCCCCUUUCCCGGGGCCCCGCCCACACCCCAGGCCACACGUCUGUGCCCGGCUCAGCGGUUUCCCCGUCACUCCCUCUGCCACGCCGCUGCACGGCCCCCAGUGGGUCUGAGGGCUCUGGCCCAGUGGACGUGAUCUGGGGAUGGGGCUCUGGGCUGGCAGAAAUGGCCUGGAAGGUGAUCGUGGGGCAUUCCAGGUAGAGACCCUCGGGUGGAACACUGGGCCUCGCUGGACCUCUGACCUGCGGCCACAUGGCGCCGGGUCCUUCUCAGACCGGGGGCAGCUGGCGCCCUCGGUGCCUGUUCACGCUCCGGGUACCGGCUGCACGAGGGCACAGGCGCGGAAGACUGGGAGGAAAUAAUGUUUUAAUUGAGAGUCCUGCUGCCCGAAGGCCCCCAGGCACCAGGCCUGCCCGACUCCCCUGGCCAACCCUCGGAGUGUCCCCCGUGGUUGUCCCUCCUCCAACUCCAGCUGGGCUGGCCAAGAGGAGGGGGAGUCAGAGAGAGGGACCCCCACUUCCCUGCUGCAGACAGACUCGGAGCUGCUGUGCCGUCCGGUGACCUGGGUGUCGCCUCCCCCACCCCGCCCCGUGUGCCCAGGGAGGGGGCGUCCCUGUCCCUUCCACCCCUCCCCUCAGUGCCCAGCCCAGGGCCAUGUCCCCAGAGACCCCAUUGUCUGCUCUCUGGGCCUCCUUCUAGAGCAGGACCUUCUACUCGGUCUUCUGUGUGGGUAAACUGAGUCCCAGGGUGGUGGGUGGUGGGGCAAGGCCUGCACACGCGUGGUUUGGGUCUCUGCCCGCAGCCGGGCCACCUGUGUGUACCUCGAGCCCUGGGACAUUUUGCCUGUACGUUCCCCUGCACAUUCUCAACGACCUGCCCCUUAGGGUCCUGCAGGAAAGUGGGGGUGUUUGCCAAUCACCCCGAGUCCAUUCCUGGCCCCUACUCCACCGCGGGGCCUGUGCACGUUCUUGCGGGGCCCUGUCUCACUCGGCUGCGCUGCUCAGCGGCGGCGCCGGCCUCUGGUUGCAGCCCAUUUCACAGACGGGUUCCAGCUUGCCCGAGGUCACCGCGCCCCGCCACACCCCACUCCGGACUACUGCCCCCCAGCAGGCAGCCUCUGCACCCAGGGGUCCCCAGCCCGGCGGGAGCUGGUGGAGGAGGGGGAGGCCGGCUGCUUAGCUGGAGGUGGAGGUGGGAGAAAGCGUUUUCAGGGCGUUUUGACAUUUAACAAACAGUAUGCAAAUGGCAUGCAAAUGACAUGCAAAUCACCACCCAUUUCUUAAGCCUCGACAGCUCUGGCGUGUUCUGAAAUGGUAAUGUUGGGCCUGUCCCUGCCCCGCCUGGGCGGGCAGGUGCGCGGUCUUUCCCUCCUACCUCUUCCCCUCCCGCUUUCCC